rnacentral:rRNA from 1 species
CUACGGGAUGCUGCAGUGAGGAAUAUUGCACAAUGGGGGGAACCCUGAUGCAGCAACGCCGCGUGGAGGAUGACGCAUUUCGGUGUGUAAACUCCUUUUAUAUGUCAAGAAAAUGACGGUAGCAUAUGAAUAAGCACCGGCUAACUCCGUGCCAGCAGCCGCGGUAAUACGGAGGGUGCAAGCGUUAUUCGGAAUCACUGGGCGUAAAGGACGCGUAGGCGGGAUAGAAAGUCAGGUGUGAAAUCCUAUGGCUCAACCAUAGAACUGCACUUGAAACUUCUAACCUAGAGUAUGGGAGGGGGAGAUGGAAUUAGUGGUGUAGGGGUAAAAUCCGUAGAUAUCACUAGGAAUACCGAAAGCGAAGGCGAUCUCCUGGAACAAUACUGACGCUAAGGCGUGAAAGCGUGGGGAGCAAACAGGAUUAGAUACCCGCGUAGUC